rnacentral:snoRNA from 1 species
UGUAACUUAAUGAACAGGUACAAAAAAUCAGUCCUCUUUUGCAACCCAGAACUCAUUGUUUGAUGGGAGGUUUGAUACAUAGAAGAAGGAAAAUC